GCCCACGUAACUCAGCUGGUAGAGUAACUCCAUGGUAAGGAGUAAGUCAGCGGUUCGAAUCCGCUCGUGGGCU
rnacentral:tRNA from 1 species